AGUGAACGCUGGCGGUAGGCCUAACACAUGCGAGUCGAACGGCAGCACAGUAAGAGCUUGCUCUUACGGGUGGCGAGUGGCGGACGGGUGAGGAAUACAUCGGAAUCUACUUUUUCGUGGGGGAUAACGUAGGGAAACUUACGCUAAUACCGCAUACGACCUACGGGUGAAAGCAGGGGAUCUUCGGACCUUGCGCGAUUGAAUGAGCCGAUGUCGGAUUAGCUAGUUGGCGGGGUAAAGGCCCACCAGGGCGACGAUCCGCAGCUGGUCUGAGAGGAUGAUCAGCCACACUGGAACUGAGACACGGUACAGACUCCUACGGGAGGCAGCAGUGGGGAAUAUUGGACAAUGGGCGCAAGCCUGAUCCAGCCAUACCGCGUGGGUGAAGAAGGCCUUCGGGUUGUAAAGCCCUUUUGUUGGGAAAGAAAAGCAGCAGGUUAAUACCCCGCUGUUCUGACGGUACCCAAAGAAUAAGCACCGGCUAACUUCGUG
rnacentral:rRNA from 1 species